rnacentral:rRNA from 1 species
UACAAGGGGUGCAAGCGUUGUUCGGAUUUACUGGGCGUAAAGAGCGUGUAGGCUGUUCAUCAAGUCAAUUGUGAAAUCCCUUGGCUCAACCAAGGAAGUGCAAAUGAUACUGAUGAUCUAGAGUGUCGGAGGGGAUGAUGGAAUUUCCGGUGUAGAGGUGAAAUUCGUAGAUAUCGGAAGGAACACCAGUGGCGAAGGCGGUCAUCUGGAAGACUACUGACGCUGAGACGCGAAAGCAUGGGGAGCAAACAGG